GAUGAACGCUGGCGGCGUGCCUAAUACAUGCAAGUCGAGCGAACAGACGAGGAGCUUGCUCCUCUGACGUUAGCGGCGGACGGGUGAGUAACACGUGGAUAACCUACCUAUAAGACUGGGAUAACUUCGGGAAACCGGAGCUAAUACCGGAUAAUAUAUUGAACCGCAUGGUUCAAUAGUGAAAGACGGUUUUGCUGUCACUUAUAGAUGGAUCCGCGCCGCAUUAGCUAGUUGGUAAGGUAACGGCUUACCAAGGCGACGAUGCGUAGCCGACCUGAGAGGGUGAUCGGCCACACUGGAAUUGAGACACGGUCCAGCCUCCUACGGGAGGCAGCAGUAGGGAAUCUUCCGCAAGGGGCGAAAGCCUGACGGAGCAACGCCGCGUGAGUGAUGAAGGUCUUCGGAUCGUAAAACUCUGUUAUUAGGGAAGAACAAAUGUGUAAGUAACGAUGCACGUCUUGACGGUACCUAAUCAGAAAGCCACGGCUAACUACGU
rnacentral:rRNA from 1 species